GCAAUAGCGACAGAAACAGUAACAUCGAUCGCGAUUAUAACCACAACAGUAAGAGCAACAUUAGCAGCAAAAGCAGCAUUAACAGCAAUAGAAAAAUCAACACUAACAACGGUAAAACUAACCACUAUAUACCAACAACAGUAACAACUGGAAAAGUAGAAGAGUGAUUUAGUUGGAUCAAAUCCCACAACAUAUCUACAAUUUAUUGUAUGUUCUCAGUAAAAUAAUUUGAAUUUAUUAUUUCCAAUAAAUUAGGUGUGCACUCUACUCACAGCAACGAAGCUGAAGACAGAAGAUUCAGCUUUAGAUGUUGUAACACCCAGAGUAAUUGCGCACGUGAUUGUGUUUGGUCUGGCUAUGUGAAUAACUUCGAUGGUUAUCUGAACUACGUCGUACCCAGUGGCUCUUUUCUCACUGGGGCACAAAGUUUUCAUGACAAUGGAAAUGAGUAAGUCCAACAAAUAUUCAACUACGUUUGUUUGUGUGAUUGUUUGUUUGUCUUUUUGUCUACUGAUCAACAGGAUAACUGAAAAAGUAUUAAAAAAAGGUAAACAGAAAAGUUUAGGCGGCAUAAAUCGCGGCCGAUCCGUCGGCGGUCAAAAUUGUUAAUUAAAUAUGUUUGAAAAUUCGAUGAGAAAUGAAGGUCACAACACGCAGGGUGUUUUGGCUUUGCUGACAGCGAGAUAUCAGUUUCGGAUUUGCCGUUGCAUUAUCUUCAAGUUAAGAUAAUUUGUCAACUGUUAGUUAUUAUAUGUUAUGCUAUCUCAACUGAUAGUUAUUAUAUGUUAUUACAUGUUAUGCUGUUUACGCGAUUCAGUUGAAAUAACUUAUAUUGACGUCAUGUCUCUUAUCAGCUUUCGUUAUAUUUUCUUAGGGAUAGACGAUGGGAAUUCCUCGCUUGUAAACAAGGUUGAUGAAGACAAAUUACUGAUGUUUUUCUUAUUUGACAAACUUUGAUGCGUAAUUACUCAACACUCUUUUUCUAUUAAUUAAUUAAUACGUAAUUCUGAUGUGCUUGUAACGACUUUCAAUUAAUUUUCAUAAUAAAAUACAGCGCAAUAAAGUCUCUUGUACAUUUUACACUUCUAACAUGUGCCG